GACGAACGCUGGCGGCGUGCUUAACACAUGCAAGUCGAACGGAAAGGCCCUGCUUUUGUGGGGUGCUCGAGUGGCGAACGGGUGAGUAACACGUGAGUAACCUGCCCUGGACUUUGGGAUAACUGCAGGAAACUGGUGCUAAUACCGGAUAGGAGCGCCUGCUGCAGGGUGGGGUUUGGAAAGUUUCGGCGGUUGGGGAUGGACUCGCGGGUUAUCAGCUUGUUGGGGGGGUAGUGGCUUACCAAGGCUUUGAAGGGUAGCCGGCCUGAGAGGGUGACCGGCCACCUUGGGACUGAGGUACGGCCCAGACUCCAAUGGGAGGCAGUAGUGGGGAAUAUUGCACAAUGGGCGGACGCCUGAUGCAGAAACGUCGCGUGCGGGAUGACGGCCUUCGGGUUGUAAACCGCUUUAGCCUGUGACGAAGCGUGAGUGACGGUAAUGGGUAAAGAAGCACCGGCUAACUACGUG
rnacentral:rRNA from 1 species